rnacentral:rRNA from 1 species
UACGUAGGGUGCAAGCGUUGUUCGGAAUCAUUGGGCGUAAAGCGCGUGUAGGUGGCUAGUUAAGUCGGAUGUGAAAUCCCUGGGCUCAACCGAGGAAGUGCACUCGAAACUAGCUGGCUAGAGGAUGGUAGAGGAAGGUGGAAUUCCAAGUGUAGAGGUGAAAUUCGUAGAUAUUUGGAGGAAUACCGGCGGCGAAGGCGGCCUUCUGGGCCAUUCCUGACACUGAGACGCGAAAGCGUGGGGAGCAAACAGG